rnacentral:rRNA from 1 species
UACGUAGGGGGCGAGCGUUGUCCGGAAUCAUUGGGCGUAAAGAGCGUGUAGGUGGCUUGGAAAGUCUUACGUGAAAGCCUGGCGGCUCCAACCGCAGAAGGUGCGUGGGAAACUACCUCGCUAGAGUCCGGAAGAGGAGAGCGGAAUUCCUGGUGUGAGCGGUGGAAUGACGGCAGAUAUCAGGAGGAACACCCGUGGCGAAGGCGGCUCUCUGGGACGGUACUGACACUGAGAACGCGAAAGCGAUGGGGAGCCAAACAGGG